UUGUAAAAUAACUGAUUUGGUAUAUACAUUUUUCAGUUAUGAUGAUUUAAAGCCACCAUCAUCUCCUUCUCCAACCAAGCCUAGUGAGAAGAAACAGAUAAACAUCAGUGAUGCAGUUCCAACACCUAUUUCUUCGGAUACUCCAAGUAGCAUUCAAGAAAUAGAUGGCAUUUCUCAGACAACAUCUUCCUCAAAAGGGAAGGAGUCUCUAUCUCCUUACGCAGCGUAAGCCGCUUUAUAAUUUUAUAGUGAUAUCAUAUAUCAGUUCAACCAUCCCAGAUUAGAUUUGUACUUUUCUUGUGUUUAUACAUACCUGUAGAUAUCCUGAUUUAAAGCCUCCUAGUUCACCAUCUCCGAGUGUACCAACUACAUCACUAUCGAAGAUAGAUACAGUAGUAGUAUCAAGCAAUGGACCAGCUCAACUUUCUGUGGAAGAUACACCAAAGAAUGAAGAACAGCACCUUCAUGAACCAAAGUCAAGGCCACUUUCACCUUAUGCAAUGUAAGUUGAUUCCUUCUUAUAGAAGAAAGAAAGAGAGGGACUUGGAUUCUUGAUUGAGAUCUACCUGCAGUCACUAUUUGAUCUCCG
rnacentral:lncRNA from 1 species